CGCCUGCCACAUGUGUGAACAAAGCUCACUCAUAUCCGGGCGGGAUUUUGAUGCGCUGUACAAAGGAGGAAACAGUGCUGGGGUCCAGACCCAGGGGAACUGAGUCUUCACCCUCUACUUUUUCCACUGUGCCAGGCUGCCUUCCACUGAACGCGUGAAAAGUUUGGCCUGCAAGUCGGUGGAUGUGGCUGAAAGAAUACAUCCAUUAUUCUCAAAGGAGGCAAGGAAGGUGGCGUGAUGCAGACACGAAAACAUAUUCUUGGAAGAAAAUUAACGUGCCGGCUGAAUUAGUCGCUCUGUUGGUAUUCACUGAGCCAGAGAAAGAAAAAAACAAGGAAGCCAACAAUACAAACAAGGAAGCCAGCCAUAAGAAAGGCAAAGGUGACUUUACGAACCGGUCCUCCCCAUGCGUGUGUUAGUUCUGGAUUAUUAAAUCAAUAUAGAUUUUACACUGGCCCCCUGAAACGCCAACAAUGUGACAUUGAGAAGUCAUGCUUCAUGCUACCGACUGUGGAAGGAAGGAUACAACAUAACUCCAAGUCUGGCACCUUGGCAUCGUUGGAAAGUCAACAUCUGUCAUCCUUUGACGUUUGCUACCCAUCCAACAGAAGUUCCGAGACCUGUGCACUGAGAGAGCCCAGAAGCAAGCCCUUCCCGACAGAAAGGAGCACACCUAGUCCCAGUCCUUGGUUGCUAGACACUAUUCUCCACUACAGAGGGAUCAGGACUCCUUGGAGAAUUAAUGCAUUGCCAGUAUAAAGGCAGACUGGAAUCUUUCAGGUACCUCCUAGCUCGGUAGCUCCCAUCAGCCAAGGUCAGUCAUGACAGAGGGGCAGUAACAGUCCACAUGCUCGGCACCUGGUAAAGAGGAUCCGAAGAGGGCCCCAGCAUCUGCUGCAAGUACAUUUGAAGAGAUGAUUCCAGAGCAGUGGGUGGGAGUUGGAUUAAACCCAGGUGAACUCACUUAGGGCACCUAGAGAGUGAGCAUUCUCCCUCUUCCCAGUCCCUUCCAGACACUGCACUCGCAGGACAGAGGAGACCACAUGAAUGUGAUCACUGCCAUUACCAGAGUCAGUGGGAAAGUAAAAUAGUUCUGCAGUUCCCAGGAGCUCAACCUCUCAAGCACUUUGCUUGUGUGUCUUAGCCAGAUCUCAGAUGCCUUUCCCAAGAAAGAUACUAAGCUUCCGAAAUUAACUAAUUUUAAACAGUCCCAUUUUUCUGACAAUGUGUC
rnacentral:lncRNA from 1 species